UACGGAGGGGGCUAGCGUUGUUCGGAAUUACUGGGCGUAAAGCGCACGUAGGCGGCUUUGUAAGUUAGAGGUGAAAGCCCGGAGCUCAACUCCGGAACUGCCUUUAAGACUGCAUCGCUUGAACGUUGGAGAGGUAAGUGGAAUUCCCAGUGUAGAGGUGAAAUUCGUAGAUAUUGGGAAGAACACCGGUGGCGAAGGCGGCCAUCUGGACCGCAACUGACGCUGAGGCGCGAAAGCGUGGGGAGCAAACAGG
rnacentral:rRNA from 1 species